UGUAUGUAGAUCUCUUUAACUGAUGAGCGACUGUAGUAAAGAUGCAGUGUUUAAGUCUGUAGCUUGGUCACAAACUCAUUUGAAACUCUUGUAGGUCUUUGGGCCACACAUUCUGGACAGAAGAAGAAGAAAAAGGAUGUUCUUGUGAAAUGUGAAUCAGAAAUUAAGUUAUUAAAAGCUUCUGUAGAAAACAAACCUCUUUGUGAAGUACUUAUUGAAUAAAUUCCCCUCAGUAUUGUCAUGUUCUGUACUUGCCAUUUAUUUCACAUUAAGAGAAAACCAUUCUUACAACAUUGUCUGAACAGUAUUGUAGAGGUGAAAAGCCCACUUAGUUAAAACUCAAGAUGACCUGGGAGAAGAAAGUUAAGUCCUGAUUAGAUUAUCCAAGAAAAAAAUGUGAGAAUGGUCCCAAGACAACGGAGGCAAAACAAGAUGUCAAGAAGAGAGUCACAAAAAAGAAACAUGACUUUCGUCAAUCCCUGAGUUUCUCCUCCACAUACUGGUACUUGAAAUAGUCUGUUAGCACCAUUAAGUGAAGGGAAGGUUGCCUAAGGGGGGACCAUUUGUACAAGGUCGUCCACAUACAGUACGGCUGUGUACUAACUCUUUGGCUAUACAGUGAAAUUAACACGAAUAUGAACAAACAAAGCAGCACAACCUGUGUAUAUCCGCAUGAAUGUCUGACAUAGUAUAGCCCUUCCUUGAAUAUGAAUACUAUGAAUAGAAAUUCAUCAUAAUUAUUCAAGAGACUUUGAGACAUGAUAUUCUUACACAUCAACCUUGAAAAACAUUACACACUUUAUGGCUUUGUUCAAACCCACAGGAAGUUUCAAUAAUAUUGUACUAAAGAGGAAUGAUUUCCACCUUCUAGAGCGGUCUUAGAAUGGAAGAACCUAUUUCACUUCAUCACAACCAUCUUGGAUUUUAUAUUAAGUCAAAUCUGUAUUAAUAAGGUACCAAGUCAAGUCUCUAUUAAUACCAAGUCAAGCCUGUAUUAAUAAGGUGUCAAGUCUAUUAAUAAGGUGUCAAGUCUGUAUUAUUAAGGUAUCAAGUCAAGUCUGUAUUAAUAAGGUAUCAAGUCAAGUCUGUAUUAUCAAGGUGUCAAGUCUGUAUUAAUAAGGUACCAAGUCUAUUAAUAAGGUGUCAAGUCCAGUCUGUAUUAAUAAGGUGUCAAGUCUAUUAAUAAUGUGUCAAGUCUGCAUUAAUAAAGGUGUCAAGUCUGCAUUAAUAAGGGGUCAAGUCUGUAUUAAUAAGGGGUCAAGUCUGUAUUAAUAAGGGGUCAAGUCAAGUCUGUAUUAAUAAGGGGUCAAGUCAAGUCUGUAUUAAUAAGGGGUCAAGUCUGUAUUAAUAAUGUACCAAAUCAAGUCUGUAUUAAUACCAAGUGAAGUAUGUAUUAAUAAGGUACCAAAUCAAGUCUGUAUUAAUAAGGAACCAAAAAGCCUAAGGCACUAUGGUCCAUGUGACUGUAAAUCUCACUGUCAUGGCACAUAAAACGACAUAGACACAUCCAUCUGCCUAUUGCAAGGCAAUUGCAUGAUAGUCAGAGAUGCAUAUAUCACACAUUCACCUCAAGAUACCUGAAUAAUACUGAAUGAAAAAAGAUAAAAAGGGUGAAUGACUAAGAAGCUGAGGCCUCUGAAGAGUUAUCAGCUGAAAACAUAAGAACUGCGACAUUCCUAGAGGCCUAUAGCAGACUUAAGGUUAAGAACUGUGACAUUCCUAGAGGCCUAUAGCAGACUUAAGGUUAAGAA